GCGGGAGUAGCUCAGUGGUAGAGCGUCGGCCUUCCAAGUCGAAUGUCGCGAGUUCGAACCUCGUCUCCCGCUCGA
rnacentral:tRNA from 2 species